UAGCGAAAUGAGAUACUUGGUGUGAAUUGCAGAAUCCGUGAACAUCGAGUCUUUGAACGCAAGUUGCGCCCGAAGCCAUUAGGCCGAGGGCACAUCUGCC
rnacentral:rRNA from 1 species